rnacentral:rRNA from 1 species
GAUAAACGCUGGCGGCGUGCCUAACACAUGCAAGUCGAACGCCCUUUUGCGCAAGUGAGAGGGAGUGGCGGACGGGUGAGUACCACGUGGGUACCUACCUUGAGGUGAGGAAUACCACCGAGAAAUCGGUGACAAGACCGCAUACGCUUGGCAACAAGCAAAGUCUCGCAAGAGACGCCACAAGAUGGGCCUGCGCCUGAUUAGCUAGUUGGUGGGGUAAUGGCNCACCAAGGCGACGAUCAGUAGCUGGUCUGAGAGGAUGAUCAGCCACACUGGGAUUGAGAACGGCCCAGACUCCUACGGGGGGCAGCAGUGAGGAAUUUUCGUCAAUGGGGGCAACCCUGAACGAGCAACGCCGCGUGCAGGACGACAC